UACGUAGGGGGCUAGCGUUGUCCGGAUUUAUUGGGCGUAAAGAGCGUGUAGGCGGCCAGGUAGGUCUGGUGUGAAAACUCGAGGCUUAACCUCGAGAUGUCAUCGGAAACCAUUUGGCUAGAGCCCGGAAGAGGAGAGUGGAAUUCCUGGUGUAGCGGUGAAAUGCGCAGAUAUCAGGAGGAACACCGGUGGCGAAGGCGGGUCUCUGGGCCGAUACUGACGCUGAGGAGCGAAAGCGUGGGGAGCGAACAGG
rnacentral:rRNA from 1 species